CAGCACUCUGACUGCCACUGGGCUCAUUUCGUUUUCACAGAACGGUCACUCUAGCGGCCACUUUUGAAUAACAGCAGCACGCGUCGCGUCUCUCCGUCAUUUUUCUUAUUUUUUUUUUACAUUAAACUACACUACGCUCUCCUGGCAUUUCGGUCGUGUCGCGCGUGAUUAAAUUGGCAACAAAGAACAACAAUAAAAGCCCAGUGUGCGCGCAGCGUUAAGCAGCAACAAACACAACGAUCAGUGAAAACAAAACACCGUGACAACAACAAUCAAAAUUACAAAGGCAACGAAGAGGAAGCAAAAGGCAGGACCUUCGCAGCGAGAGCGAGAUAGCAAAGGAUCGGGAGAGAGCGAGAGAGUGCGAUUUGAUCAACGGGAUACAGGGUGACAUGUGGAGUCCGACGCACUGCAGUGUAACGGUGCAGCGAGCGCGUGGGCUGCUUACCAAGGGCAAGAAUGGCACCAACAACUGCUUCGUCACCAUUGCACUGGGCAAGGAGAAGUACCAGACGUCCGUCAAGGACAAGGCCGAGACGAGCGUCAACUGGAACGAGGAGUGCGAAUUGAAAAUCCCCGAUCAGGGCAAUCGCGCCGAGCUCACUUUGACCUGCCUGCACAGGAACAAUCUGGGCAUCGAUGAGUUCCUCGGCCAGGCCACGCUGCCCCUCAACGAGAUGGAUGUGUACGAUCGGCCACGUGCCAAGUGGUUCAAGCUGGAGAGCAAGCCCGGCAAGGAGAAGAAGAACAAGGAGCGCGGCGAGCUGGAGGUGCGCAUCGCCUUCGUGGUCAAGUCUGGCUCGCUGACUGACCUCAGCAAGAAGGACAAGCACAAGUCUUCCAUUGGCCAGCUGGCCAGCUCCGUGGGUGGCAGCCUGCUGUCCAUCGGCAACGGCGAGAAGCGCCGCAGCAUCAAGAAGCUGGCUGGCUCGCUUAGCUCCAAGCUGCACAUUCGCAGCAAGAAGAAGAACCAGGAGCCGGGCGCCGACGACAGCAGCUCCUUCGGCGGCUCCUUUGCCAGCCUGGGCACGCCAAACAGCUCCAACGGCAGAGCCCAGAAUGGCGGCAGUGGCCGGCGCCGAGGCGGCCAGCGGGCGGGCGAAGCCGAUCCCGGCGUGAUCAGCGAGGAUGAGGACGAGUUCGUGUUCGACAACCUCUCGCACAAGAGCUCCGGCAGCUCACUCAACAUCCAACGCGUCGGCCUGCAGCCGCCGCCAGUCGGUACGCCCAACUUUGCUCCGCGUCACCCAUCGCCCCUGCUGAACAACGGAGGAGUUAGUGGCGUCGGAAGCGGCAGCGCGAAAGGUAAGCCAGCGGUUUUGCCAGCGACGCUCGAUGAGGAUGCGCCCAUCGACGCGGAGAUGGAACAGCUUGAGCUCGAUUUCAGUGUUCGUGCCCACGCCCGCACCAACGCCAACGCCAGCGCCAGCGCCAGUGGAAGUGCCAGCAACGUGCCGCCUCCCUCGAAACCACCGCGCAUCCCCCUUUCGCAGGUGGAGGAGCAGCCUGCUGCCGGAAUUCUGGAGCGGGAAAAGCCAAGGGAGAAGCCCGUCGAGCUGGAGAGCUCCAAGGAUGAGUGGGCGUCAAAGUUGUAUGGCGGUGGAAAGUACCUGGAGAUCGGUAGCAGUGACUCGUUGAAGCGUCGCAGUUGGGAGGACCGAGUUCCGCUCCCCGCCAGUGUCGAGGAGCCGCCCCCAGUGCCCUCGUCCAGCUCGUCGUCUAGUUCCAGCUCUAGUUCGGACAGCGAUGAUGACGACGAGAACCCGCCGCAGGCAGCUCCUCCACCAGUACCCGUGCCGGCAUCUGUUCCAUCGGCUGCUGCUGACCCAGUGGUGGCCACUGCAUCCUCACUCUUCUCUCCCGAAGUUGAGCACCGCAACUUUGAUACCUUCAACGCCAGUUUCGCCAAGUACGAGCAGCGAAACAGCACUGCUAUUUUUGCAGAUGAGCCCGAGCUGGAAGAUCUAACAGUGGAGCUGGAGAAGUCUGUGCCCACUCCCACAGCACGCCCCAAGCCGCAGCCACGUGCUGUGGCCGAUCUGAGGGAGGAGGAGGAGAAGGCAAAGGAAGAGGCUGCACGGCAACUGCGUGCCGAGGAGGAUGCCCGCUUGGAGGCGGAGCUGCGUCUCAAUGAGGAGCGCCUGCGUGAGGAAGAGGAGGCUAUGCAGCGAGAGCUGGAGGAAGAGAAGGAGCGCCAAAAGCAGCUGCAGAUGGAUGAGCAGCAGCGGCGUGAGGCCAAGCGCUGGGAAGAGGACCAAAGGCUUUUGAGCUUUGCCAAGCGGUCCACAUCCCUCGAGGAGCCAGCCACAGAGAAGCAGGGGCUGAAGCAUGAGAGGGAACUCGUGGCCAAACAGGAGGCGGAGGUAGAAACGGCUGAGCCGGAGCACAACUUCCUAACGCCCGAGCAGUCGCCCAAGGAGUUCCAAACGAAUGGCAGUGGCAGAGGGAGCGGGAGCGGGGAGCGCUGGGAAAAGCGACUGGGCAAAUUCAAAUACGCCAACAAGCGAGAUAAAUACAACAACGACAACGAUAGCAACUCGCCCAGUCCCAAGUCCACGGAGCGCAUCAUAAUUGGUCACGAGAAGUCGGGAUCGCAUGCGGAACGCCGCUCGGAGAUAUCCGCCCAGCUGGCCAAGAAAUACGAGGGCAAGUCCCGCGAGGAACUGAUGCUAAUUGCCAACGGAAUGGAGAACGAGGCUCUGCUGCAGCGGCAGCGCGUGAAGGAGCUGGAGGACUAUCUGGACAACCUGCUGCUGCGCGUGAUGGAGACGCACCCGAAGAUCCUGCAGAAUCCCUAUUCGCGAACCACGUCCGCCAAGAGUUAUAAAAAUUACAUCAAUAUGAAUGACUUUCUAAAGUAAGUGCUGCGCAUGCUGCAAGUUGCAUUUAAGUAGACACUUAACCAACAAUCCCCAACAACAACUACAUCACCACCACCACCACCACGAACACCAUAACCCCCAACAACAACAACGACAAGAACAACAACCAGAACUGCGAGACACGAGUAACAAGAACUAAGGCGCCGCCGGCCGCAAAAAGAAGAGAAGGAACCACUGAGGCGGGAUCGAACGGCUAAGCAGCCAAACUGGCCCUGGCCGUCGCCAGCAACCGGCUCACUUGUCCCAGAACCGCUGGAGAGGAUCUGCGCAGGCUGCUCCGGAAGUCGUUGGAUGGAAACGAAUCGAAACACCACGUUGCCUUUGCCGCGAGCAGCGAAAUUCAAGUGCUUUCUAAAACAUAUUGCUAAGAGGGAACUAAGUGUACACGUAAAACAGCUAGGCUUAAGCAGUGCAAAAUCUUUAUUGAUAUUUUAUUGUGUGUAGCAUUCGUGCUUUCUGUUCCGUUUAUAAACCCGAUCCCCCCCACACACACACACACACUAAACAAAACUAAAUUAAUUGUACUAUAUGAUACUAUGUAUAUCCUGGCAGUUGAUGCGACUUGCCCCGCUGCGAGUCUCUUGUCAAUUGAUUGAAAUUAUCCGAAAGUAUUGUUUGUUUUUUUUUUUGUAUGUCCCAUUUUUUGCAGUGUUGUACGACAAGAGUUUGUGAAGUUUUUGUAAAGUGCUGCAUGGGAAGUGGCCUUAGUGGAUUAAGUCUUAAAUUAUUUAUGUUUUAGCAGUUAAGCGAAAAGGGGGGAAGGGGGACCCACCCACGUAUGUCCCCCUCGAAAAACACCACACACAGUUGAAAUAUGUUGAUACUACAAUGAUUUUACUUAUUGAUAUACACGCAAACAAAUAAAAACAUUUUUAACAUUAACAA